ACUUAAACUUGGGGGCCACAGCUUCAUAGAGAAUCCUGCAGAAUCCAUCUUCAAUAGCCUGGAAAAGAAGCUGCAAUCAGAAGAUCAUUUCAUACAACAAAGGAAGCCACUAAUACAGAACAUAACGGCUGCUAAGUACAAGGAAAACAAUAACAAAUGUGCUUGGAAACUGCUAAGUUGUUCGGACUCCACUUCCGGUAUUGCAUCCAUGUCGAUACGACAUGGGGUGUGGGAUCCGUAAUGGAAUUGGUCAACCAAUUUUGAAUAAUUUGACCAAAAUUGACUGAGAAAUUCGGGACAGAUACCUGUGAUUUCUGUAAUCAAAAUAAAAACUAGGAUGAAAUUGAAGAAAAUGAAAUAGCUUGUGUAUAGAAAUUUCUAUGUCAGUCCUUUUU